UGCUUGUCAGAACAAGAAUCAUAUCUUAAAUAUUCUCUCAGAAUGCAACAGUGUUUUCUGUUUGUGCAGGGGAGACAGAGGUUCUAUAACAUAGCUUGAUUUAUAAGGGGUUUUUCAGCAGUGUUUGUGAUGCGAGUCUCUAGGCUCACGGGACAAUCAUCGACGUCGAAGUGAAAAGAAGACAUGAAUGCUAUAUGUUUUGUUAUUGGGUCAACAUGUCCUGGAUAAAGGCAAUCGUUAUUUUCAUUGUAUGUGCGUCAUGUCAUGCUUCUAAUGAACAUAAGAUAUCUGCCAACAUAGGACAACCAAUCACACUACAUUUUAAAAAGGAAAACUGCGACAGCCAGACUUUCCAGCUGUACUUUAAGAACCAGAAACUUGUAUUAAAAUCCAGUCGUAUUUAUACCACCCACUUUCAUUCGCCUACUCCUGGCAGCUUGGUGGAUCAAGAAGGGACAGUGACAUUGUCUAUAGAUUCAUUGCAUCCCUCCCAUUCCGGUACAUAUCGAUGUGAAUUCUCCUGCACCUCUGGAAACUUUUCACAAGAAGUUCAUCUUAAAGUUAGCCACCCUCCUGGACGGGCCGAAUGUACUUGGAUAGAAAACGGAGCUUCUCCGAACUUCGAGAACCCCCAGCCAAGCCCACGAGAGACUUUUGAAUGUAAAGCUGCUAAAGGUCACCCCAGAGGAAGCAUUAUUUGCUACUCACGUUAUAGAGCCAAAACUAGAGCACAUACACCAUUUAUGGUUAGCAGCGUUCAUCAUAAACUGAAAGGUCUAUUUUGGA